GAUGUUUCAGUAGGAGUUGUUGUGAUUGUGGAAGUCUCAGUUGAUGUAGAUGUUUUCGGUGCAGUUGUUGUAAUUGUGGAGGUCUCCGUUGAUGUAGAUGUUUCUGCUGCACUAGUGGUGGAUGUUUUAGGAGCAGUUGUUGUGAUUGUGGAUAUCUCAGUUGUUGUAGAUGUUUCUGCUGCACUAGUGGUGGAUGUUUCUGCUGCACUGGUGGUGGAUGUUUCAGCAGCAGUCGUUGUGAUUGUGGAAGUCUCUGUUGUUGUAGAUGUUUCUGCUGCGCUAGUGGUGGAUGGUUCCGGUGCAGUCAUUGUUAUUGUGGAAGAAUCUGUUGUUGAAAAUGUUUCUGCUGCACUGGUGGUGGAUGUUUCUGGUGCAGUCGUUGUGACUGUGGAAAUCUCUGUUGUUGAAGAUGUUUCAGCGGGACUUGUGGUGGAUGUUUCAGAGGCAGUUGUUGUGAUUGUGGAGGUCUGUGUUGUUGUAGAUGUUUCUGCUGAAUUGGUGGUAGAUGUUUCCGGGGCAGUUGUUGUGACUGUGGAAGUCUCUGUUGUUGUAGAUGUUUCGGUUGCAUUAGUGGUGGAUGUUUCAGUAGGAGUCGUUGUGAUUGUGGAAGUCUCAGUUGAUGUAGAUGUUUCUGCUGCACUAGUAGUGGAUGCUUCAGGAGCAGUUGUUGUGAUUGUGGAUGUCUCUCUUGUUGUAGAUGUUUCUGCUGCACUAGUGGUGGAUGUUUCCGGUGCAGUUGUUGUGAUUGUGGAAGUCUCAGUUGUUGAAGAUGUUUCUGCUGAACUUGUGGUGGAUGUUUCAGGAGUAGUCGUGACUGUGGAUGUCUCUGUCGUUGUAGAUGUUUCUGCUGAAUUGGUGAAAGAUGUUUCCGGGGCAGUUGUUGUGACUGU
ensembl:lncRNA